GACCUGGUUGGGCGGUCCGCUUAACGGCGAGUACUGUCUGACUGGGCCUUACCUCUUGGUGAGCCGGUGUGCCCUUUAUUGGUGUGCGUCGGGGAACCAGGACUUUUACCUUGAAAAAAUUAGAGUGUUUAAAGCAGGCUCGCGCUUGAAUACAUUAGCAUGGAAUAAUGAAAUAGGACG
rnacentral:rRNA from 1 species